GGAGAGGUGGCCGAGUCCGGUUGAAGGCGCUCGACUCGAAAUCGAGUAAGGGGAAACCCUUCGUGGGUUCGAAUCCCACCCUCUCCG
rnacentral:tRNA from 1 species